GUUUCCAAUCCGGAGAGAAGUGGAACAAUGAAAAUACAGGGCAUUUAGCAGGAGUCGUGAGCUCACCUAGGAGGUACCGGUAGGGGAGGAAGUGCAUUCCAGAGAGCACAGCAGGCCAGUCUGGGGGAGUCCCCCGGGGGACCUCUGUGUGGGAACUCGCGCACACCUAGAUGAGAAAACUGAGGCUCGGAUGGUUAAGUCACUGGAAGGUCAUGCAAGGGAAAAGGGGCAGCGUGGGUCUCGAAUUCAUCAGAAAGCGCUCCCCACUCCGCCGCGACUGGGACUGGUGCUAAACGCUCGGUCUGGGGGGAUCCCUGGGCGGCUCAGUGGUUUAGCGCCUGCCUCUGGCCCAGGGCGCGAUCCUGGGGUCCCGGGAUCGAGUC